AUUUAAGUAGCUUAUAUUUUUAAAGCCUAAUAUUGAAGAUAUUAAUAAAAUUUUUUAAUUCUUAAAUA
rnacentral:tRNA from 1 species